UCUGAAUCUGUCUUUAAAGGAUCACUCUAGCUGCUGUUUGGAACUGAUUCACAAGAAACUAAGGGGAGAAAGCAGGUGGAACUGAGUGGACUGCGAGAUAAAGCAAAUCAGUAAGAGAGCCUGUAGCCUAAAGCAAUGUACUUCUGUAUCUGUAGAAUAAGAACCAUCCUGUGUGCUGAACUCAAGUAUGAAACACCGAGCCUGUUUGGAGAGUCUGACAUCAGAGGUCCCAGCAGAUAUAAUGAAGAAGACACCGUCUCUCUUUCAGAUACUGUCGCUCUUUCUUCUACUAGAGCUCUGCAAUUAGACAUGUCCAGAGAUCAAAAUUCUUCUACAGAUCAUUUGGUGGUCUCAUCAGUUUCUUGAAGAGAAAGCCCAAGAUAAUUAGUCCACAUUCCUCUACUUGGCACUCAAGGACCUCCACAAUAAAC